GAUGAACGCUGGCGGCGUGCCUAAUACAUGCAAGUCGAGCGAAUGAUGAGGAGCUUGCUCCUCUGAUUUAGCGGCGGACGGGUGAGUAACACGUGGGUAACCUGCCUGUAAGAUGGGGAUAACUCCGGGAAACCGGGGCUAAUACCGAAUAAUAAAAGAGGAAGCAUUUCUUCUUUUUGAAAGUUGGUUUCGGCUAACACUUACAGAUGGGCCCGCGGCGCAUUAGCUAGUUGGUGAGGUAACGGCUCACCAAGGCGACGAUGCGUAGCCGACCUGAGAGGGUGAUCGGCCACACUGGGACGGAGACACGGCCCAGACUCCUACGGGAGGCAGCAGUAGGGAAUCUUCGGCAAUGGGCGAAAGCCUGACCGAGCAACGCCGCGUGAGCGAGGAAGGCCUUCGGGUCGUAAAGCUCUGUUGUCAGGGAAGAACAAGUACGAGAGUAACUGCUCGUACCUUGACGGUACCUGACCAGAAAGCCACGGCUAACUACGUGCCAGCCGCCGCAGUAA
rnacentral:rRNA from 1 species